UUCUGGCAUCGAUGAAGAACGCAGCGAAAUGCGAUAAGUAAUGUGAAUUGCAGAAUUCAGUGAAUCAUCGAAUCUUUGAACGCACAUUGCGCCCCUCGGUAUUCCGGGGGGCAUGCCUGUUCGAGCGUCAUUGCGACCCUCAAGCGUAGCUUGGUAUUGGG
rnacentral:rRNA from 1 species